AUUGAACGCUGGCGGAAUGCUUUACACAUGCAAGUCGAACGGCAGCACGGACUUCGGUCUGGUGGCGAGUGGAGAACGGGUGAGUAAUACAUCGGAACGUGCCCAAUCGUGGGGGAUAACGUAGCGAAAGCUACGCUAAUACCGCAUACGAUCUAAGGAUGAAAGCGGGGGAUCGAACGAACACGCGCGAUUGUCGCGGCCGAUGGCAGAUUAGGUAGUGGGUAGGGUAAAGGCCUACCAAGCCGACGAUCUGUAGCUGGUCUGAGAGGAUGAUCAGCCACACUGGGACUGAGACACGGCCCAGACUCCUACGGGAGGCAGCAGUGGGGAAUUUUGGACAAUGGACGCAAGUCUGAUCCAGCCAUUCCGCGUGCAGGAUGAAGGCCCUCGGGUUGUAAACUGCUUUUGUACAGAACGAAAAGGCUCUGGUUACUACCUAGGGCUCAUGACGGUACUGUAAGAAUAAGCACCGGCUAACUACGUGCCAGCAGCCGCAGUAA
rnacentral:rRNA from 1 species